AGGAGAGACUCCAGCGCUCCUAGGCACCCCCUCAGGCAGAUGGACAGUCAGGCCUGAAGGACAGGGGCCCUUCCUGAGUUCUGGCUGUAACUCCCAUGUUUGAGCAGCCCUGGCUUCUCCUGCAGGGAUCUGGUUGGCCUGAGCGCCUGCCUGCUCCCCGUCCGGCGCUGACCUGCGUUGCCUCCCACUUCCUUCACUGCCAGGAUGGGAACCUGCCCAGUGGAGAGGCCAUGGUGAGGCAGUUUCUGCAGGGCCAGAACUUCUUUCUGCAGGAGUUUGGGAAGAUGUGCUCCGAGUUCUGGCUGCCAGACACCUUUGGCUACUCAGCACAGCUCCCCCAGAUCAUGCACGGCUGUGGCAUCAGGCGCUUUCUCAGCCAGAAAUUGAGCUGGAAUUUGGUGAACUCUUUCCCACACCAUACAUUUUUCUGGGAGGGGCUGGAUGGCUCCCGUGUACUGGUCCACUUCCCACCUGGCGACUCCUAUGGGAUGCAGGGCAGCGUGGAGGAGGUGCUGAAGACCGUGGCCAACAACCGGGACAAGGGGCGGGCCAACCACAGUGCCUUCCUCUUUGGCUUUGGGGAUGGGGGUGGUGGCCCCACCCAGACCAUGCUGGACCGCCUGAAGCGCCUGAGCAAUACGGAUGGGCUGCCCAGGGUGCAGCUAUCUUCUCCAAGACAGCUCUUCUCAGCACUGGAGAGUGACUCAGAGCA
rnacentral:sRNA from 1 species